UACGAAGGGGGGCUAGCGUUGCUCGGAAUCAUUGGGCGUAAAGCGCGCGUAGGCGGCCCGGUAAGUCCGCUGUAAAAGUCAAAGGCUCAACCUUUGAAUGUCAGUGGAUACUGCCGGGCUAGAGUCCGGAAGAGGCGAGUGGAACUCCUGGUGUAGCGGUGGAAUGCGCAGAUAUCAGGAAGAACACCGACGGCGAAGGCAGCUCGCUGGGACGGUACUGACGCUGAGGCGCGAAAGCGUGGGGAGCGAACAGG
rnacentral:rRNA from 1 species